rnacentral:tRNA from 1 species
GGUAAAAUGGCUGAGGUUAGGCGAUAAAUUGUAAAUUUAUUAACGAGUAUUAAAUUCUUUUACCAU